rnacentral:rRNA from 1 species
GACGAACGCUGGCGGCGUGCUUAACACAUGCAAGUCGAACGGUAAGGCCCUUCGGGGUACACGAGUGGCGAACGGGUGAGUAACACGUGGGUGAUCUGCCCUGCACCUCGGGAUAAGCCUGGGAAACUGGGUCUAAUACCGGAUAGGACCACUGCCUGCAUGGGUGGUGGUGGAAAGCUUUUGCGGUGUGGGAUGGGCCGGCGGCCUAUCAGCUUGUUGGUGGGGUGAUGGCCUACCAAGGCGACGACGGGUAGCCGGCCUGAGAGGGUGACCGGCCACACUGGGACUGAGAUACGGCCCAGACUCCUACGGGAGGCAGCAGUGGGGAAUAUUGCACAAUGGGCGCAAGCCUGAUGCAGCGACGCCGCGUGAGGGAUGACGGCCUUCGGGUUGUAAACCUCUUUCAGCACCGACGAAGCGCAAGUGACGGUAGGUGCAGAAGAAGGACCGGCCAACUACGUGCCAGCCGCCGCAGUAA